CGAAUCAAAUCAUUCCGAAUAGUCAUAGUAAUUCCCGCUCGGAGUGUUAUACAUGCGUUAUACGUUAACAAACUAGUUUUUGGCAUUCGCGUAAAAUGCUUCUACUCGGGCAUCUGUCAAAAGCAAGCUUUUAUACACGAUUUCUGUAUUAAAUAUUUAGUUUACGCAAUUGGUCUCAUAGCUGUUAGAUUUUUUUAGAAAAAAUAUACUAAUUGGAUUUUUGAUGAAAACGUUCUGUGCAGAUGACAGAACGUCCGAUGAUUGUCGACUGUCAUCAUAUUGAGACAGAAAAAUAGAUAAGAAAUGGAUGAGAUUUCAAUGGAAUCCAAUUAUUCAAAUGAACCGUCCGUUAUUAACGACUUCUAUAUUGGACUUGUUCUGGCAAUUAGUUCCAGUAUUUUUAUAGGAGCAAGUUUUAUCAUAAAGAAGAAAGCCUUGUUAAAAUUACAGCAUUAUGGUAUGGUACGAGCUGGUUCGGGUGGUCACGGUUAUCUCCGAGAAUGGAUUUGGUGGAUGGGUUUCUUUUCUAUGGGUAUCGGGGAGGCUGCAAAUUUUGCAGCCUAUGCAUUUGCUCCUGCCUCUCUGGUGACACCUCUAGGAGCACUCAGCAUCGUCGUAACUGCGCUUUUGUCAUCAAGAUACUUACAGGAGAAACUAAAUAUCCUUGGGAAGAUUGGGUGCAUCCUGUGUAUCUUAGGCUCAACAAUGUUGGUAUUACAUGCCCCAAAAGAAGUUGAAAUUUCGAGCAUGGAUGAAUUGUUAACAAUGUUACAAAACCGUGGAUUCGCGCUCUACGUUUUUAGUGUCAUAACAUUUUGUCUUUCAAUAUCUUUCUAUUUUGGUCCGAAAUAUGGAAACACGAACGUCUCAGUUUAUAUAUUAAUGUGCUCGAGUGUUGGAUCCUUAAGUGUUAUGAGUUGCAAAGGUUUGGGUUUUGCUCUGAAAAUGACAAUCAAUGGAACCAGUAAUGAAAUGGAAAAUUGGUUGACAUGGGCUCUUUUGUUCUGCGUCAUAUUUUGUGUUAUGGUACAAAUGAAUUACCUUAACAAAGCUCUGGAUCUCUUCAACACUGGAGUCGUAACACCAGUGUAUUACGUUUUUUUCACAACAUUCGUCAUUGUUGCAUCCGCAAUAUUGUUCCAAGAAUGGAAAAAUAUGACAAUACUCAAUGUUUUAGGAUCUUUGUGUGGAUUCUUCACAAUUAUGGUAGCUAUAUUCUUGCUGAAUGCUUUCAAGGAAAUUGAAAUAUCAUCCAACAAUAUUAGACAAAUUGCAAGGCCGAAGAGAGAAGACUGUUAUAGAAGAAGGCACUUGGAAAAUCAUAAUAACAAUAGAAGCAACAGAGUUGAAGAAACUCUUGUUAUAGACCCUAGCAAUACGGAUUCUAUGAGUUAUGGAAGCCCUGAUAAUGCCAGGAAUAAUAUCUGACGGCAGUUGGAAGUUCUGCAACGACGACUAUACUCUUGACAAGAAGAGCAGAAGUGUUAAAAUUAACAAAUAGCAAUUAGCUUCAUUUUGGUUGAAUUAUUCAAAUGGAUGUUAUUUCAUCAAGUGAAAACCGUUGAAGUAAAGUAAAAUUCUAUACAACCAAUCGUAUAGGAAUAUACAAAUUCCUACGAUAAAAGGUGUUUUGAUGACCAAACCCUUGACGAUUGAAAUAUGUCAUCAAAAUUUUUCUCAUAGAAAUUUUGAUUCUCAACAAAAUAGAUCUUGGGGCCUUUACUGUAUGUCCAAUCUUGACAGUGGCGUGGAAAUGCAAUGCCUCAAUUGGUAAUAAAUUGCCAGAAGAAGCCUGGUAAAAAAAUCUUAUAUAAAACUACUAUAGCAGUCACUUGGGUCCAAGUAUUGAAAAAGUAGUAAGACUAUGUUCUGUAAUAACACACACAAGCCAAAACGCUGCCAUGUUCUCAUACACCUUGAAAUACAUUUAAUUUUUUAA
rnacentral:misc_RNA from 1 species